UUCUAGGGCAGAGUGGCUGUGCUCCUUCCUCAUCUCCACUCACAGAAAUGCCAUCUUUUAUCUACUCAGACCUGACAUGGAGAUUCAGGUCAGCAGCCAGAGACUGUCAGCGUAUUGCAGUGGAUACCCCUGCCUAGUCCGGAUUCUCUCUGCAACUUGUCUGCGAGGCAAGGAGGGAUACAGAUGUGCGAGUGAGGGGAAGUCCGCAGGAAGCCGGGUGAGGCAGGCUCAUCCCUCAUCACUCCGUGCGCACAGAGCAGCUCAGGCUCUCACCGGCAAUAGCAAGAGGAGUUAACUAACGUGCUGGGAGUAGGGGACGGCCCAUGGGACCACGACUGAAUGCAUUUGUACCUCUACAGGCGUUUUAAAGAUAAAUGGUAAAACUGAACUGGAAAUCCAUCUGGCCGGCUGCCUGCUCUAAUGAAUAACCCCACUUUGGCUCGUGCAAUGACUUCUUCCCUUUGGAAAGCAGUGUGGUGGCAGUGUCAAGAAUGCCUGUGUGUUUGCAGCAGGUUCCUUCCAAAAGCAGCUGGAAGUGCCACCUCCAGGCCAUCUGGCCAGUGUGAGGAAAAGAGGCUGCAAGGGCUUGGCAAGAAACAACUUUCUGCUCCUCUGGUAUCCCCUGAUAACUGAUUUCAAGUUAUGACCAAGGACUUCCUUAUCGCUAUCAGUGGCUGUCAAAAAUUUAUAAGCAUAUUCAUUUCCCUGUUCAACUUAAUUGGUAUUUUGGAUUUGACACUAGAAAAACAAGUUUGACUUGCCUGUUGGAGUCCAAGGGUAUCUCCAACAGAAUUCUAGACAAUAAAAGAAAGGGGUUAGGUUCAUGGAAGGAAUUUUUUUUUCCUGAUGGUCGUGAGAACGCUGUCAAGAUUUUGUUGCUCAAAUAUGAUCAGAACACGCAUUUGUCGUUUGCACACUUUUUCUUGGAAGGAAAUGGAGAGGAACUGUAAACAUGGAGAAACGCAGAAAAAUCCAAACGCUGGAGUUGGAGUUGGCUUAUAUAGGGAAGCCUCUGCAUAUUGAAACAAAUCAGGGAGACUGGGUCAGGCCAGGCAAGAGAGGACAGCACAUUCUCAUCUUUUACUUCUUCUGAAAUUGGAAGUACAGGAUUCUGACAUGCUGGUAGAUUAAACGAGAACAACAAGCAUCUUAUUGCCUCAAGGAACUUAAUGUUUUGCAGCCACAGGGCAGGAUUCCGAUAUCAUACUUUAUUAUCACAAACUAAAGUCAAAAAAGAAAGAAGUUUUGAGAAUGCCUGGAUUGGUAUGUUUUCAAUAAAUAAUACAACUCUUACUGUGUGAAAUGAAAGGCAGAUCGUGGGAAAAUGUAUGAUUCUAUUUAUAGUCAAAUUUAAAUUAUCUGAUUAUAGGACAAAAUUAGGAGAGACUUUAAACCUGCCCUUUUAGUGCCUAAUUUGCCACUAAAAAUAGUAAAACUACUCACAUUUGAUAAGCAAUCUAUCUUGUUAUUUGUUGUCCUAUGAACUAUGAAAAAGAACUAAGAAAAAUUCCCUUCUUUCUUUUUUCUUUUCAUAAAACUCAAUCCAGUGCCUGCAUAUUAUAUUCACAUUUUUCUUGUGUGCUUCCUUUUGUAUGUUUUGGCCACACUGGUGGAAUUUUCUAUGAUAAGAGGACCACCAAUCCAGUAUGCGUGGUGUGGGGUUGGCCCAUUGAGUGGGCCUCACUGGGCCUCCGGGGAAGAGGGCCAGGAAUUCACAGGGCUGGAUUACCACCAGGACUUUUUCUGCUUUUAAGUUAACUAUGUUCUUCCUGGUAAAUCAACGCCUCGACUUUGGAGAUUUAACAUCAGCUCUGUGAUUGAGCAGAAACUCUGAAAAGAAGAUGUCCCAGCAAUGCCUACCUGAACUUUCCCCAAGCUUGUUAUAAGGAAAAUAAGAAGGUGUCCUGAGAAAGGGAGUCAUUGGAUGUGGAACCACCAGGGGGACUUAAAUAUUAUUAAACCAGCUUCCAUGGUGACGUAUGUAAACAAAAGUAAAAGCGUCUUUAUACAUACAAGAUAAACAUCAUUUAGCUUUUCAUUGUAUGUCCCUAACACUUGCAUCUGCCUGCUGUGCAUAUUUUCUUUUUAAAAAAGCAUAAAAUUAAAUUUACCAGGAC